UGGGGAAUAUUGCACAAUGGGGGAAACCCUGAUGCAGCGACGCCGCGUGAACGAAUAAGGUAUUCGUAUCGUAAAGUUCUGUCCUAUGUGAAGAUAAUGACAGUACCAUAGAAGAAAGCUCCGGCUAAAUACGUGCCAGCAGCCGCGGUAAUACGUAUGGAGCGAGCGUUGUCCGGAAUUAUUGGGCGUAAAGGGUACGCAGGCGGUUUAAUAAGUCGAAUGUUAAAGAUCGGGGCUCAACCCCGUAAAGCAUUGGAAACUGAUAAACUUGAGUAGUGGAGAGGAAAGUGGAAUUCCUAGUGUAGUGGUGAAAUACGUAGAUAUUAGGAGGAAUACCAGUAGCGAAGGCGACUUUCUGGACACAAACUGACGCUGAGGUACGAAAGCGUGGGGAGCAAACAGG
rnacentral:rRNA from 1 species